rnacentral:rRNA from 1 species
UACAAAGGGGGCAAGCGUUGUUCGGAAUUACUGGGCGUAAAGGGCGCGUAGGCGGCCUGCUAAGUCGAACGUGAAAUCCCCGGGCUCAACCCGGGAACUGCGUCCGAUACUGGCAGGCUUGAAUCCGGGAGAGGGAUGUGGAAUUCCAGGUGUAGCGGUGAAAUGCGUAGAUAUCUGGAGGAACACCGGUGGCGAAGGCGGCAUCCUGGACCGGUAUUGACGCUGAUGCGCGAAAGCCAGGGGAGCAAACGGG